AAUACCAGGUGCCAAUUUAGAUAGAAAUCGCGAUUAUGCUUUAAUUAUGGAUGGAUUCGCCAAUCAUCAAAUGGAAAAUCGAAGCACUACGUCAGUGUAAUGGCGGAAGCAGUUUGAAAUGUAUCACGUAGGUGGGAUGAAUCUACAUCUUAUUCAUCGGCUGCGAAUGACAGCCACGGAUAUAUUAAGUUUAUUUCCAUACCCACUUUUGCGCAAUUCCUUAUUGAUAACGCGUUUUUCACUUGAAGUCCCAAUUCGAGUAACACAAACACAGGAUGUUGUGCGAAUUUGGAGGCGUGACGUAUACGUAUGAAACUAACUGAAUUAUUAAUCGGCUUUAAGGUGGAGAUUAUGGCUAAUGGCACUUAAAUGGAAAGUUAUUUCAUUUAUCAGGAGAUAAGUACGUGACCUACAAUUUCGUGUAAUUGAGCAGACAAAAGAGUUUUCCAACACAACCGUUCGCCGAAUCAUCCCCAAACAACUGUCGGUAUUUCAGCGCAGCGUUGCGUCGGGUCGCGCGUCGGGUGGAAUGUAUUCGAUCAUUGUUGGAACCCUAUGGAGAAAUCCUUGUGGAUAAUGCAAUUUUGAACAAAUCUACACCCCCAUAUAUUCCAGAUAUGGCCCCAAGUACCUGUUUGGCAAAUUGAAAAAGGGCCGCAUCAGACACCAUUUCCGUGACGCAUAAAAGGUGAACAUUUGGGCACAUUUUAAGGACAAACCAAAAGAAUAUUUUUAGGAGUAUUUAUCCACCGUUAUUUGAAACUAUGUAAUUACUGUUGGGGGACAAAUAAAAUUUAAUUGUUGUUUAUUUGGCGCUGCUCUCCGAUUGUAAGUUUUGGAAAGCAUAAGUUGUUUACUAUAGUGGAGUGAAGAUUGAUUAUUAUUAAAAUUGUCCGCCAUCAUAAUUAUUUCU